AUGAAGAUUUCCAGAAAAUAUCAAGUAUUGGGAGAUGCAUAUUUAGGCCUGGAACUAUCUUGCCAAAACUUCUAUACAUAUAGCGACCUCUUCGUUUUUUUCCUGCUUCUAGGUGUUGGUGCUGGUUCUGACUUAUUUACGAUCACAUUUAUAAAGUGCUACUCUCCUUCAUCUCAUGUUUCUAUCCUAAUCCAACUAACUGGUUGUGUUGUGGACGGCAUCACCAUAACCAUAUCGAUGGUCCAAGCCCCUUUCUCGUGUUUUUUGUUUCUUAACCUACAGGCUGUUGUGCUCGAGUUGAUGAGGCAUCCUCGCAUAAAUGGAUUGAGAGUCAAAGCGCCAGAGGCUGGAAGAAAGGCAUUUCCAAAAUUGAACUGA
rnacentral:rRNA from 1 species